AUUUCCUACGGGGGGCAGCAGUGGGGAAUAUUGCACAAUGGGGGAAACCCUGAUGCAGCGACGCCGCGUGAGUGAAGAAGUAUUUCGGUAUGUAAAGCUCUAUCAGCAGGAACGAGACAAGACGGUACCUGACUAAGAAGCCCCGGCUAACUACGUGCCAGCAGCCGCUGUAAUACGUAGGGGGCGAGCGUUAUCCGGAAUUACUGGGUGUAAAGGGAGCGUAGACGGCGAGGUAAGCCUGAAGUGGAAGCCCGCGGCCCAACCGCGGAACUGCUUUGGGAACUGUUUUGCUGGAGUAUGGGAGG
rnacentral:rRNA from 1 species